rnacentral:rRNA from 1 species
GAUGAACGCUGGCGGCGUGCCUAAUACAUGCAAGUCGAGCGAACAGACGAGGAGCUUGCUCCUCUGACGUUAGCGGCGGACGGGUGAGUAACACGUGGAUAACCUACCUAUAAGACUGGGAUAACUUCGGGAAACCGUAGCUAAUACCGGAUAAUAUAUUGAACCGCAUGGUUCAAUAGUGAAAGACGGUUUUGCUGUCACUUAUAGAUGGAUCCGCGCCGCAUUAGCUAGUUGGUAAGGUAACGGCUUACCAAGGCAACGAUGCGUAGCCGACCUGAGAGAGUGAGCGCGCCCACUGUGACAGAGACACAGGGCACACACCUACACGGGGCGGCGCUAGGGGAAAUUUCGCAAAAGGGGAAAAAGUUACGGAGAAAAACGCCGCGAGAGAGAUGAGGCUUCUGGUAUCGAAACACUGUGUUAUUAGAGAAAAACAAAUGUAAAAGUCACUAUACACGUCUAGAGGGCACAAAAAGAGAAAGCCAGGGAAAACUACG